rnacentral:rRNA from 1 species
GACGAACGCUGGCGGCGUGCUUAACACAUGCAAGUCGAACGGUGAAGCGCUUUCCUUUUUGGUUGGUGUGGAUGAGUGGCGAACGGGUGAGUAACACGUGAGUAACCUGCCCCCUUCUUCUGGAUAACCGCAUGAAAGUGUGGCUAAUACGGGAUAUUCUGCGCCUGCUGCAUGGUGGGUGUGGGAAAGAUUGUGCCUUUGGGUGUUUUCGGUGGGGGAUGGGCUCACGGCCUAUCAGCUUGUUGGUGGGGUGAUGGCCUACCAAGGCGGUGACGGGUAGCCGGCCUGAGAGGGUGGACGGUCACACUGGGACUGAGACACGGCCCAGACUCCUACGGGAGGCAGCAGUGGGGAAUAGUGCACAAUGGGCGCAAGCCUGAUGCAGCGACGCCGCGUGAGGGAUGGAGGCCUUCGGGUUGUGAACCUCUUUCGCCAGUGAAGCAGGCCUGCUCCUUGUGGGUGGGUUGACGGUAGCUGGAUAAGAAGCGCCGGCUAACUACGU